UCUCCAGGGCAACCGUGGCUUUCGAUUGUUACUGUGGGAACUGGAGGUAACAGUCUACAGCCAUGGUCGCCCCGCAGCACGCCCACGCGC
ensembl:miRNA MIR132 microRNA 132